rnacentral:lncRNA from 1 species
AUGCACAAGCCCCACGUUCAAAAUACUCGUUUUCACACUGGCAAUCCUGACCCAAUUUUAACCCCGGUUGCUAUGGCGCUGGCGCAGGCCGGGCUGUCGGCGCGGCGGGGCGACGUGGCGAUGGCGCGUACACUCGCCUUUUGUUACUCCUUGGCUCGGGCCCAGCGAGCGUGUUUCCCCCCGGCCUUCUCCCGCCACCCCUCCACAGCUGGCAGCAGCCCACAUCUGCAGGCGAGGAGCCCCGGCUGGCUUCCCAGAGGGGUAGAGCCAUGCGAGCUCCUCAUGUGGACACUUGCUGCCUUUACCUUGAGGACAGAGGGAGAAUGGAAGGGGUCAGGCUGCUGCUGGGAAGGGGAGCAUGGAUCUGGGCGUCAGACAUUCCUCAGGAUGCACAGCAAAGGGACGACAAAUCUCCUCAAAUGGAAGGUGAUGGAGCAGCAGAAAAGAUGCUCUAACUGAAAAAAAUCAUCCAAAGGCUUCUUGGGCACAGCCUCAGCCCUCCUUGCUCUGUGAAGUUCCUUGCACAAAGGCUGUUUAUUCAGACUCAAUGAGGUUCACUCCAAAAAAGUGAUGUUCCUGAGUAUACCUUGUUAUGAAUGCGCUCUGUGUGUUGUUGCUUUUUUUUUGGUAAACAACUAUUUGAUCACAAUGAAUUGAUUAUUUUUUAACUAAUUUGAUGUGAUGAUUAGGCAAUCACUUUUGCAUGUGUUUUUUCAAUUAUCUCUCUUUAACAAAAUGAGGCAGUAACUAAGCAUAAUCCAUCUUUUCCUGAUUUCUCAUGAGGAUAAAGUAGAGCACAAAUAUUCUUGCUGAGGCAUUUAGAUACCUUUGGACCUAGGGGUGGUUAACCCAUUAUAUUCCAUAGUUAUGACACCUAUACUUUGGCCAAGACCCUACUAUUAAGGAUAGUAGGCAGUAAAAGUGUUCCACAGGUAGAGGGAUCUACCUACAGGUCUUCGCUGCACUUUCCCCUUCGCUAUGGUAUAUUGCUGAUGGGGGCUCUACCAAUGCACUCAUUUUUGAGGGAGGAUAGGGGCAGAGUGAGCAUAAAAUGAUGAUGGACGCCUGUGACUGCUGCCACAGUAUAAAGAAUAAUGCAUACUAAUACCUCAGAAUUUUGCUACAGGGAGUCAAGUUUGAUCUUAGGCUUUCCUCUUUUAUUUCCAUUUUUUGCACUUAACUAAAACCACACAUUUUUACUAUUCAAAAUAUAUAGCCUUUCAAACUCUGCUUUAGCAAGGGCUAUAAAACUUGCUGAAGAGUCUGGGCCCCAAAGUUUUUUAAAAGUUUUUCUAUCACUCUAAAGGAUGAUACCCCUGAGCUCAGCGUGUCUCUCACCAUUGCGGAGGUAUCCAGCCUGCAGAGGGGUAGGAUGGAGAUGGGCCGUGGAGCAGCAUUAAAGUCAUGGCCUUCCAUUACACCAAGAAAAAGGAGGCUUCUUGUGAGACUUCUCUGCUGU